UACGAAGGGGGCUAGCGUUGUUCGGAAUUACUGGGCGUAAGGCGCGCGCAGGCGGCUAUCCAAGUCAGUGGUGAAAGCCCGGAGCUCAACUCCGGAACUGCCAUUGAAACUGUUUAGCUUGAGGAUGAGAGAGGUGAGUGGAAUUCCCAGUGUAGAGGUGAAAUUCGUAGAUAUUGGGAAGAACACCGGUGGCGAAGGCGGCUCACUGGCUCAUUACUGACGCUCAGGCGCGAUAGCGUGGGGAUCAAACAGG
rnacentral:rRNA from 1 species